AAAAAGAAAAUAAAUAAAAAAUAUAUAAAAAAUAGACUAACGUCUCUCCAAAAAUGAGUUAAAUGAAACAUAUUCGUUCAAUCCUUUGGGAUGCAACGUGUCCAAUUGUUUAAUCCAGAAGGUCUCCCUUUGAAGUAAUAACUUUGACCGGUCACCUCCCCUGGUUGGAAUAGGUAUGACAUCUAUAGCAAUAAAUUUAAGCAUGGGUAAUCUGUGGUUAAAUGCGAAGAAGUGUUUAGCCACAGGUUUGUCCGUUUUCCCAUCUCUAAAAGCCGUCAUAAUAGCUGAUCGAUGCCCUCUGAUCCUAUCACGGAGGGUUAAAUCCGUCUUACCCACAUAAAAAAGACCACAGGGACAAGAGAUUAAAUAGACCACGUGAUCAGUUAGACAGGUGAUAUAGUGUCGAAUCUUAU